rnacentral:rRNA from 1 species
GUCGCAAGACCAAAGUGGGGGACCUUCGGGCCUCAUGCCAUCAGAUGUGCCCAGAUGGGAUUAGCUAGUAGGUGGGGUAACGGCUCACCUAGGCGACGAUCCCUAGCUGGUCUGAGAGGAUGACCAGCCACACUGGAACUGAGACACGGUCCAGACUCCUACGGGAGGCAGCAGUGGGGAAUAUUGCACAAUGGGCGCAAGCCUGAUGCAGCCAUGCCGCGUGUGUGAAGAAGGCCUUCGGGUUGUAAAGCACUUUCAGCGGGGAGGAAGGCGUUAAGGUUAAUAACCUUGGCGAUUGACGUUACCCGCAGAAGAAGCACCGGCUAACUCCGUGCCAGCAGCCGCGGUAAUACGGAGGGUGCAAGCGUUAAUCGGAAUUACUGGGCGUAAAGCGCACGCAGGCGGUCUGUCAAGUCGGAUGUGAAAUCCCCGGGCUCAACCUGGGAACUGCAUUCGAAACUGGCAGGCUAGAGUCUUGUAGAGGGGGGUAGAAUUCCAGGUGUAGCGGUGAAAUGCGUAGAGAUCUGGAGGAAUACCGGUGGCGAAGGCGGCCCCCUGGACAAAGACUGACGCUCAGGUGCGAAAGCGUGGGGAGCAAACAGGAUUAGAUACCCUGGUAGUCCACGCCGUAAACGAUGUCGAUUUGGAGGUUGUGCCCUUGAGGCGUGGCUUCCGGAGCUAACGCGUUAAAUCGACCGCCUGGGGAGUACGGCCGCAAGGUUAAAACUCAAAUGAAUUGACGGGGGCCCGCACAAGCGGUGGAGCAUGUGGUUUAAUUCGAUGCAACGCGAAGAACCUUACCUGGUCUUGACAUCCACAGAACUUUCCAGAGAUGGAUUGGUGCCUUCGGGAACUGUGAGACAGGUGCUGCAUGGCUGUCGUCAGCUCGUGUUGUGAAAUGUUGGGUUAAGUCCCGCAACGAGCGCAACCCUUAUCCUUUGUUGCCAGCGGUUAGGCCGGGAACUCAAAGGAGACUGCCAGUGAUAAACUGGAGGAAGGUGGGGAUGACGUCAAGUCAUCAUGGCCCUUACGACCAGGGCUACACACGUGCUACAAUGGCAUAUACAAAGAGAAGCGACCUCGCGAGAGCAAGCGGACCUCAUAAAGUAUGUCGUAGUCCGGAUUGGAGUCUGCAACUCGACUCCAUGAAGUCGGAAUCGCUAGUAAUCGUAGAUCAGAAUGCUACGGUGAAUACGUUCCCGGGCCUUGUACACACCGCCCGUCACACCAUGGGAGUGGGUUGCAAAAGAAGUAGGUAGCUUAACCUUCGGGAGGGCGCUUACCACUUUGUGAUUCAUGACUGGGGUGAAGUCGUAACAAGGUAACCGUAGGGGAACCUGCGGUUGGAUCACCU